GUCGAGAAUCUUUAGCAAUGGGGGAAACCCUGACUAUGCGACGCCGCGUGAGGGAUGAAGGCCUUCGGGUCGUAAACCUCUUUCGGUUGGGAAGAAUUUCUCUGGUAUUAAUAUGACCAGAGAUUGACGUUACUAAAAGAAGAAGCCACGGCCAACUCCGUGCCAGCAGCCGCGGUAAUACGGAGGUGGCGAGCGUUACUCGGAUUCAUUGGGUGUAAAGGGCAGGUAGGUGUCCUGUAAAGUGGGGAGUGAAAUCCUUCGGCUUAAUCGAAGAAUUGCUUUCCAAACUAACAGGAUUGAGUGUGAGAGAGGAAAGCGGAACUCUCGGUGUAAGGGUGAAAUCUGUAGAUAUCGAGAGGAACACCAGUAGCGAAGGCGGCUUUCUGGAUCACAACUGACACUGAGCUGCGAAAGCUAGGGGAGCAAACAGGAUUAGAAACCCGGGUAGUCC
rnacentral:rRNA from 1 species